rnacentral:rRNA from 1 species
AGCGAACGUUAGCGGCGGGCCUAACACAUGCAAGUCGAACGCGAAAGAUCUUCGGACUGAGUAGAGUGGCGCACGGGUGAGUAACACGUAGGUAAUCUACCCUUUGGCGGGGGAUAACGUUCCGAAAGGAGCGCUAAUACCGCAUAGGACCACGGAGUCUCCGGACGCUGUGGGAAAAGGUGGCCUCUUCUUGAAAGCUACCACCGAAGGAUGAGCCUGCGUCCCAUCAGCUAGUUGGUAAGGUAAUGGCUUACCAAGGCGAAGACGGGUAGCUGGUUUGAGAGAAUGAUCAGCCACACUGGCACUGGAACACGGGCCAGACUCCUACGGGAGGCAGCAGUGAGGAAUAUUGGGCAAUGGGCGAAAGCCUGACCCAGCCACGCCGCGUGAGUGAUGAAGGCCCUCGGGUCGUAAAGCUCUGUGGAGAGGGACGAAAACCCUGGUUUCAAAUAGGCUCCAGGCUUGACGGUACCUCUUUAGCAAGCACCGGCUAACUCUGUGCCAGCAG